GUUUUGCACAAGUGGUGUUUACAACUAAUUGAUCACAACCAGUUACAGAUUUCUUUGUUCCUUCUCCACUCCCACUGCUUCACUUGACUAGCCUAAA
rnacentral:sRNA from 1 species